AAGUCAGUACAUCUGGCGCUGGAAGGUCUGCUAUUAGGGCUUGGGAAAUGAUAAUGGGAAAGCUUGAAAGAUUUUCUGUGCAUGUUGCAAACUCUUUAGUAAUCAGCUAAAAAUAGAUACUUUUCUUAUGGUUGUUUCUGUCAGCUAUAUAAUGCCUCACAACCUUGAAUAAACUCGGCACUAUUGGACAUCCUUCUUGGUGCUCCUCCUGUCCCCAUCUCUUUGUCUCUUAAUUUCUUUUCACCAUUCUCUUACCCUCACAUUCCUGGUCGAUUUGUCGCGCCGGCCACGUGACAGGGGACCUGAGCACAUUCAGGAAGUGCGCUCUUAUAGGUCGCACAGCAGCAGAACACUUUUGGCAUCCAGACUUUUCUCCUCUUCCUUAUGCUAGGUAGAAAGACCCCCUGAUGGGCACUUGGAAGGGUCCUAACCCUGUCCUCUGCAGAGGACGUGGUUUUGUUUGUGUUUUCCCUCAGGAUGAGGACACUCCACGCUGGAUGCCAGAGAGAAGGUGCCAACUCCUCGCCCUGGUGGCAACGAAUUGCAACACUGACCCUGAGUCGGAGAAAUCAGUGGAGGAGAAGAAGACGUCUCCCCCCUUACAGGAGAGGGAUGUUUCAUGCAGAACUCUGGAAACUGGUUGCUGCCCUGGGACCAAUCGGAGUGCAAAUAGCCAGGAGUGGUUACACUGCCACAAAGAACUUCAAUCUGACUUUGUGGGCUGUAUUCCUAGACCUUUUCUACUGGUAGUGGGCUCGGGAUCAAUAGUUCUCACCUCUUUCCAAGGGGGACAUCUAUUGUGUAAUAUCCAUUGUGACCACUGUGUUUUAACAAGUUGUCUACCUGUAUCCCUGCCUUUGUCAGGCACAGGUCCCAUAAUAGUGUUUAUAACUAUGCAACCCCCCUUAUGUACUCUUACCCAUAGAUGUAGAAGGACCUUGGUAUGCUGAUUAUGGUUAUCAGUUUGCCCUUAAAAGGCAGUUGCAGCUCAAACAAGUCAAAAGUCUUCCGGGUCUAUUGAUAGCAGGAAUAGCAGCACUAGUAACACUCAUUCUGGUUGUUUACUGAACUCCUCAUUAUAUUACUUGCUUUUGUUUUAAUAUGGUGCAUUGUACAGAUUCAUGCAGAACAGCAACGACUACACACUCAAGCACAAAUUCAUAUGCUUAAUUUAUUUAAAAAGGAAGGGGGAAAUGUGGGAGGCCACGUUAAGGCUUGAGACAAGGACCAAACCAGGGCCUGACUUGUGCCUCCGUUAAAGGCUGAAUAGCCGAACAAAAGGCUUAGGUCAAUAAAGUCGAGUAGCACUGAGAAAGGGUCUGUGCUAUAUGUUGCGCUCUCACCUACAUGACUUCCCACACGUUUGCUAGUCAGAUAGAGACGAUUUGGCCGGGGUCAGAAAUUCUUGCUGGUCCUUGCUGUCCUUGCACGGGCUAUAGACAACACCACUGUAAGACUGUGCUGUGCUUACACAACUAUGUCUUGAGUGGCCUUGAAGUCAGUACGUCUGGCGCUGGAAGGUCUGCUAUUAGGGCUUGGGAAAUGAUAAUGGGAAAGCUUGAAGGAUUUUCUGUGCAUAUUGCAAAUUCUUUAGUAAUCAGCUAAAAAUAGAUACUUUUCUUAUGGUUGUUUCUGUUAGCUAUAUAAUGCCUCACAACCUUGAAUAAACUCGGCACUAUUGGA